rnacentral:rRNA from 1 species
GCAAGUCGCACGAGAAAGGGUAGCAAUACCUGAGUACAGUGGCGCACGGGUGAGUAACACGUGAAUUAUCUACCUCCGAGUGGGGAAUAACCUAGAGAAAUCUGGGCUAAUACCGCAUAACACUUACGAGUCAAAGCAGCAAUGCGCUUGGAGAGGAGUUCGCGGCCGAUUAGUUAGUUGGCGGGGUAAUGGCCCACCAAGACGAUGAUCGGUAUCCGGCCUGAGAGGGCGCACGGACACACUGGAACUGAAACACGGUCCAGACUCCUACGGGAGGCAGCAGUGGGGAAUUUUGCGCAAUGGGGGAAACCCUGACGCAGCAACGCCGCGUGGAGGAUGAAAUCCCUUGGGAUGUAAACUCCUUUCGAUCGGGACGAUUAUGACGGUACCGGAAGAAGAAGCCCCGGCUAACUUCGUGCCAGCAGCCGCGGUAAUACGAGGGGGGCAAGCGUUGUUCGGAAUUAUUGGGCGUAAAGGGCGCGUAGGCGGUUUGACAAGUCUGAUGUGAAAUCUCUGGGCUCAACCCAGAGUCUGCAUUAGAAACUGUCGGGCUUGAGUAUGGGAGAGGUGAGUGGAAUUUCCGGUGUAGCGGUGAAAUGCGUAGAUAUCGGAAGGAACACCUGUGGCGAAAGCGGCUCACUGGACCAUAACUGACGCUGAGGCGCGAAAGCUAGGGGAGCAAACAGGAUUAGAUACCCUGGUAGUCCUAGCCCUAAACGAUGAUUGCUUGGUGUGACAGGUACCCAAUCCUGUCGUGCCGAAGCUAACGCGAUAAGCAAUCCGCCUGGGGAGUACGGUCGC